rnacentral:rRNA from 1 species
GUGAAUCAUCGAGUCUUUGAACGCACCUUGCGCCCCUUGGCAUUCCGAGGGGCACACCCGUUUGAGUGUCGUGAAAUUCUCAAAAUCCUUUUCUUUGAUCGGAAUAGGACUUUUGGACUUGGAGGUUCUAUGCUCGCUUUUGAAAGCGAGCUCCUCUCAAAUGAAUUAGUGGGGUCUGCUUUGCUGAUCCUUGACGUGAUAAGAUGUUUCUACGUUUUGGAUUUGGCACUGUCCCUUGGACGCCUGCUCCUAACCGUCUGUUGGACGACGAUGGUGCUUCGGUCACUGCCAUCUACAUUGGCGGGAGGCUGGACCCACAAAAAAGACCUUGACCUCAAAUCGGGUGAGACUACCCGCUGAACUUAAGCAUAUCAAUAAGCGGAGG